AUUGAACGCUGGCGGCAUGCUUUACACAUGCAAGUCGAACGGUAACAGGCCGCAAGGUGCUGACGAGUGGCGAACGGGUGAGUAAUGCAUCGGAACGUGCCCAGUCGUGGGGGAUAACGCAGCGAAAGCUGUGCUAAUACCGCAUACGAUCUGUGGAUGAAAGCGGGGGACCGAAAGGCCUCGCGCGAUUGGAACGGCCGGUGUCAGAUUAGGUAGUUGGUGGGGUAAAGGCUCACCAAGCCAACGAUCUGUAGCUGGUCUGAGAGGACGACCAGCCACACUGGGACUGAGACACGGCCCAGACUCCUACGGGAGGCAGCAGUGGGGAAUUUUGGACAAUGGGCGCAAGCCUGAUCCAGCAAUGCCGCGUGCAGGAAGAAGGCCUUCGGGUUGUAAACUGCUUUUGUACGGAGCGAAAAGGCUCUCUCUAAUACAGGGGGCUCAUGACGGUACCGUAAGAAUAAGCACCGGCUAACUACGUGCCAGCCGCCGCAGUAAGAC
rnacentral:rRNA from 1 species